rnacentral:misc_RNA from 1 species
GAUGAAGAACGUAGCUAAAUGCGAUAAGUAAUGUGAAUUGCAGAAUUCAGUGAAUCAUCGAAUCUUUGAACGCACAUUGCGCCCCCUGGUAUUCCGGGGGGCAUGCCUGUCCGAGCGUCAUUACAACCCUCAAGCUCAGCUUGGUGUUGGGCCCCGCCGCCCCGGCGGGCCCUAAAGUCAGUGGCGGUGCCGUCCGGCUCCGAGCGUAGUAAUUCUUCUCGCUCUGGAGGUCCGGUCGUGUGCUCGCCAGCAACCCCCAAUUUUUUUCAGGUUGACCUCGGAUCAGGUAGGGAUACCCGCUGAACUUAAGCAUAUCAAUAAGCGGAGGA